rnacentral:rRNA from 1 species
UACGUAGGGGGCAAGCGUUGUCCGGAUUUAUUGGGCGUAAAGAGCGUGUAGGCGGCUUUACAGGUCCGUUGUGAGAACUCGAGGCUCAACCUCGAGACGCCGGUGGAAACCGUAAAGCUAGAGUCCGGAAGAGGAGAGUGGAAUUCCUGGUGUAGCGGUGAAAUGCGCAGAUAUCAGGAAGAACACCCGUGGCGAAGGCGGCUCUCUGGGACGGUACUGACGCUGAGACGCGAAAGCGUGGGGAGCGAACAGG